CAUGCCAUAAAUAUAAUGUUAAAGCCAAGAUACAAGACAAGGAAGGCAUCCCACCAGACCAAUAGAGGCUCAUUUUUGCUGGUAAACAGCUUGAGGAUGGCCGUAGUUUGGCUGACUAUAAGAUUCAGAAGGAGUCCACACUCCACUUGGUGUUGAGGCUUCGUGGUGGCAUGCAGUUUUUUGUCAAAACCCUUACUGGGAAGACAAUAACCCUUGAAGGUGAUAGCUCCGACACCAUUGAUAAUGUUAAAGCUAAAAUUCAGGACAAGGAAGGAAUCCCACCAGACCAGCAGAGGCUGAUC
rnacentral:lncRNA from 1 species